GACGAACGCUGGCGGCGUGCUUAACACAUGCAAGUCGAACGGAAAGGCCCUGCUUUUGUGGGGUGCUCGAGUGGCGAACGGGUGAUUAACACGUGAGUAACCUGCCCUUGACUUUGGGUUCACUUCAGGAAACUUGGUCUCAUACCGGAUAUGAGCUCCUGCUGCGUGGUGGGUGUUGGAACGUUUCGGCGGUUGGGGAUGUACUCGCGGCUUAUCAGCUUGUUGGUGGGGUAGUGGCUUACCAAGGGUUUGACGGGUAGCCGGCCUGAGAGGGUGACCGGCAACAAUGGGACUGAGAUACGGCCCAGACUCCUACGGGAGGCAGCAGUGGGGAAUAUUGCACAAUGGGCGGAAGCCUGAUGAAGAAACGCCGCGUGCGGGAUGACGGCCUUCGGGUUGUAAAACGCUUUCGCCUGUGACGAAGCGUGAGUGACGGUAAUGGGUAAAGAAGCACCGGCUAACUACGUG
rnacentral:rRNA from 1 species